rnacentral:tRNA from 1 species
CCGCCCAUAGCUCAAUUGGUAGAGCAGCGCUCUUAUACAGCGAAGGUUUCUUGGUUCAAAUCCAAGUGGGCGGACAA